GUAUAGGAGCCUUGAACUAACGUUAUUAUCUAAUAAUGAGGAACCUCGUCCCUCGUAUUUAAAGGGCGAUCUGAGAAGAUCAUGGUGAAAACCAUCCUCUAAUAAGAGAAACGAAAUUAAAUCUGUAUAAAGAUGAGGUUGCAAAACUGAUUAAAUACAGAAUUUAAUAUGAAACGAAUUAUGACCCUCGAGAAAGGUAAAAUAACCAGUAAGUCUUAGGAUUUGCGGGUAGGUAUACUGAAUAGUCUGAUGUUCAAAUAAAUUUGAGGUAACUCGAAUUUAUACAAAAGGGCGGGUAUAAGCUCCAUAUAC
rnacentral:RNase_P_RNA from 1 species